UGGCUAUUCAGGGUCUCUUCUGGUUCCAUACAAAUUUUAGGGUUGUUUAAGCUCUGUGAAGAAUGCUGAUGUUCUUUUGAUAGGGAUUUCAUUGAAUAUGUAGAUUUCUUUGGGUAGUAUCGAUCCGUGCUUUUUAAUACCAGAUUGUUUUAAGGAAUUUAAUCUGCCACUAUUCCUUUUCUGAAAAAGAAAAUAGAAACAAAACUAAACUCAAACACCAAAAUACCUCACGCUCUGUUGUGAUCAUUGAAAUAAAUGAACACACUUUUAAUGAGUGUUGCAGUGCCUUCUUAGGUUGAGUUUGCCCUCAAGAAGGUUACGGUCCACACUACACCCAGUGACCUGGUCAGUGGUGUCAUUGUGGUUUUGAUAAGCCCUAUGAGAAGAAAUGAAGGCUGAGAUAGAGGCAUCUAACAGGAGGAUGUGUCCUUGUCAUGGUUUGGGGGAACACUUUUCUGUGACAUUUGUGGGAGACCUGAAAGAUGGCUGAUGUUAAGAUGGAGAAGUCCUGAGUGGGCAGAGGGACGGGGCAAGAGAACUAUUGAGAAAGAGGAAGUAAAGUUUGUGGAUUCUGAGGUCAGGAGAGUGGUUGUUGCAGGUAACAAAAAGAAGGUCAAUGUGGCUGGAGCACAGAGGAGCAGGAUGAGAGGUGCGUGUUCCUGCCAAAGAGAUAUGCAGGGGUGAGUUCUUGAGGUGGCACCAGGAGGCACCACAUUUUCUGAAUCUUUUGCUUUUCUCCAUGGUGCCUAGAACACAGCUGGAUAGAGUUGAAAAUAACUACAUUAUUUUUGAGUUAACUGGGGUAGGUCAUUUGAGCACCAGUUUCUUGGGUUAAGAUUUUGGACUCGUAAUGUCUUAAAUUGGUAUGGGAUCAUUAGGGGGUGACACUGUCUAAGAAUUGUCUUUAACACCAUCCUAAGACGCAUAUAAACAAAUAUGCAGACAGUCUUGCAUUUGAAGCGUGUUAGAGCUGGAAGACCUUGGGUCACCUGCUGUGAUAGUCUAAAACACUAGUUCUGUUUGUGAAGUACGGGAAGUUCUGGUGCCUCCAAGUAUGAUCUUUCCAUGUCUUGUCCAAUUUCAUCCUUACAACAGCUCAAGGAGGUGAAAACUAAAUGGGUGAACUUGUCUUUCUGUCCCCUUAGCAAGAUGGACUCUCCCCAUAUUGGCGCGAAUGGGUAGAAUGAUCACUUUAUUCUCCCCAGGAGUGAGCAAGUCAAUUUUUUGGGAAAGAAGCCAAGACCAACAAAAUUACCACUCAGGUUAUGGUGUGAAGGUCUGGUAGCAAUGUAGGGAGGAUUAUCUCUAUGGGAGAUGUGUACCUUGAUGGCUUAUUAUCACCACACCAUCAUCGCUGCUACUACAUGACGAAAGCAAGCAGUGUUUACCUAGUGUUUCCAUCAUAUCUUGACACCAUGCUAAGCAUGUUACAUGGAUCAACUCAUUUCAUAUUCACAAGCAUUCCAGAAGUACUGCUGAGAUAUCCACUUGACAGAUGAGACUCCUGAAGAUGGAGAAAUUUAGGAAGCUUGCCAAGGCUCUCCCUUGCUAUGUACAGGAGCCAGGAUUUGAACUCAGGCAGGCCUGCCUCUUACCUGGCCCAGCCAACACCAACAUCUUUGAAACCAGGCAACUCCAGGUUUGAAUCCAAGCUCUGCCACAUACCAGAUACAUGUCAGAAUAAUUUACGUGACCUCUCUGAGCCUCAGUUUGCACAUUUGUAAAAUCGUGGUCACUGGGAGGAUUGACAGAGAUGGUCUAUGCAAAUGCCAAAGCUCAGAGCCCAGCGCAUAAUCAGUGGCUAACAAAUGUUAGUUCCCUUCCUGUGGGAAUGUUGGAGAGAUCAAUUGCUCCCUGAAGGCUGACACAGGAAGUGCCUACCUCAGUGCACCCAAUGAGACUUUGAGGAAUUAGGUUGGGCAGCUUUAAUUGAUCAUCUUGUAAUUUCCACAACUGGAUGCAGAUCAGCUGCACUGUAUCCUAGACUAAUUACGUUUGUCACUCCACCAGGCCUGAAGAACACAUUGUUGUAUCUUUGCUAUUAAAAUGGGGUUCAUCUAAUUAAAGCCACGGAGUUUUGCAAACA